rnacentral:tRNA from 1 species
GGACCAGUAGCUCAAUGGUGAGAGCAGACGUCUUAUAAGCGUCCGGUUCCCGGUUCGACUCCGGGCUGGUCCA